AAUCUUUGGAGUUGGGACUGUAGUAGUGGCAUUUUUUCCACUGCCUCAGUCACUCUACUUGGCUUUGGCAGUGGCUACUGGCUUUUGUUUCCUGCUGUGUGAUCAUAAACUAUAGUUAUGCCUAGUUCUGCCACUGGCACUGGCACUCAAGAUGACUUUGGUGAUUGACACUAGGCACAUAACUCUCGUCUGUGAGUGCACAGAGUUACAGCAUUCCCAGUGGCAGCCAUCUCUUGCUU
rnacentral:lncRNA from 1 species